GUAUAUUUCAGAAAUCAAAUGUUUUUUUAUUUUCCCCGAUCACGUUGUCAGGUGCCACACAUUGAACCAAAUGUUUUUUAUUUUCCCGAUCACGUUGUCAGGUGCCACACAUUGAACCAAAUGUUUUUGAUUUUCCCGAUCACGUUGUCAGGUGCCACACAUUGAACCAAAUGUUUUUUAUUUUCCCGAUCACGUUGUCAGGUGCCACACAUUGAACCAAAUGUUUUUUGAUUUUCCCGAUCACGUUGUCAGGCGCCACACAUUGAACCAAAUGUUUUUUUACUGCACUGCAUUAGUAAAGGAACAUUUUGUAUGAACUGUAUGAACUUCGUCAGAAUUUCAGCCUUGGUGAAUACUUACGUAUUCCUGGUAAAUCAUUUUUCCAUAUUUAAGACGAAGGUCCUCAACGCCAUCACA